rnacentral:rRNA from 1 species
GACGUAGGGGGCGAGCGUUGUCCGGAUUUAUUGGGCGUAAAUCGCGCGUAGGCGGCCCGUUAAGUCGGAUGUGAAAACCCGGGGCUCAACCCCGGGCCUGCAUUCGAUACUGGCGGGCUCGAGGCAGGCAGGGGAGAGUGGAAUUCCUGGUGUAGCGGUGAAAUGCGCAGAUAUCAGGAGGAACACCGGUGGCGAAGGCGGCUCUCUGGGCCUGUCCUGACGCUCAGGCGCGAAAGCUAGGGGAGCAAACAGG